AGUGAACGCUGGCGGUAGGCCUAACACAUGCAAGUCGAACGGCAGCACAGUAAGAGCUUGCUCUUACGGGUGGCGAGUGGCGGACGGGUGAGGAAUACAUCGGAAUCUACUUUUUCGUGGGGGAUAACGUAGGGAAACUUACGCUAAUACCGCAUACGACCUACGGGUGAAAGCAGGGGAUCUUCGGACCUUUCGCGAUUGAAUGAGCCGAUGUCGGAUUAGCUAGUUGGCGGGGUAAAGGCCCACCAAGGCGACGAUCCGUAGCUGGCCUGAGAGGAUGAUCAGCCACACUGGAACUGAGACACGGUCCAGACUCCUACGGGAGGCAGCAGUGGGGAAUAUUGGGCAAUGGGCGCAAGCCUGAUCCAGCCAUACCGCGUGGGUGAAGAAGGCCUUCGGGUUGUAAAGCCCUUUUGUUGGGAAAGAAAAGCAGCAGGUUAAUACCCCGCUGUUCUGACGGUACCCAAAGAAUAAGCACCGGCUAACUUCGUG
rnacentral:rRNA from 1 species